rnacentral:tRNA from 1 species
CACGGGAAAUGGUCGGGAUAGCUCAGUUGGUAGAGCAGCGGACUGAUUCC